rnacentral:rRNA from 1 species
UGUGUAGGCGGCCGCGCAAGUCGGAUGUGAAAUCCCCGAGCUCAACCCGGGAAGGGCACCCGAAACUGCACGGCUCGAGUACCGGAGAGGUUGGUGGAAUUCUCGGUGUAGAGGUGAAAUUCGUAGAUAUCGAGAGGAACACCGGUGGCGAAGGCGGCCAACUGGACGAGUACUGACGCUGAGACACGAAAGCGUGGGGAGCAAACAGGAUUAGAUACCCUGGUAGUCCACGCCGUAAACGAUGGGUGCUAGGUGUCACGGGCUUUGACUCCUGUGGUGCCGCAGCCAACGCAUUAAGCACCCCGCCUGGGAAGUACGGCCGCAAGGCUAAA